UACGGAGGGUGCAGGCGUUAUCCGGAUUCACUGGGUUUAAAGGGUGCGUAGGUGGGCAGUUAAGUCAGUGGUGAAAUCUCCGGGCUCAACCCGGAAACUGCCAUUGAUACUAUCUGUCUUGAAUAUCGUGGAGGUAAGCGGAAUAUGUCAUGUAGCGGUGAAAUGCUUAGAUAUCUGGAGGAAUACCGGUGGCGAAGGCGGCAUCCUGGACCGGCAUUGACGCUGAUGAGCGAAAGCUAGGGGAGCAAACGGG
rnacentral:rRNA from 1 species